ACAGCCACUGCCGCUGGACAAGCGUGGACAAGAUCUCCCAGCUCCAGAGGACAUAUUUACAUCUCAAGGCAUCUCUUCCUGCAUUGGAUGCAUCUCAAAAUCCCAUAAGGGAAGAAGAUGCCGAGACAGAACGAGGAGUACAUAAGGUUUUGGGGGGAGUAACACCUGGGAGGAAAUGUGAGGAAGCAAGGAUGGUCAUGAGGAAGGUACCCGAUCAGGAUACGGAGCAAGAGCACCUGUUGGAUCCGAGUCCUCAUCAGGAGGAAAUGGCCAGGUCUUUGUUCCAUGGCCUUGCUCACUUACUGGCUAGUGCCACUCAGAACCGUGUGUGACUUCGGCUCCACAGUUGCUCACAGAGGAGGCUGUGAGCUAGCUACCCUCUCCAUCGCUGGGCAGGGAGUCCCAUCUUACAGGGGUAGCUGGGUAGCGUAUCUGUAUCUGCCACACCCCACCUUCCCCCGGACUCUGUGAGGCGAUUUUACCCUUCGUGGUUCUUCAUGAGGACAACAGAACUCUAUAAAUGACAGUGUGUGAAUUGCCCUUGGGAAAUAGGCCAUCGCUCAACCAGCAAAAUUAGAAAGAAAGUUAUAACCAUACGUCAGUAGAGUUGAAGCAGCUAAAAGGUGAGGUGGCCCUAGCAUAUGGGACUGCGUUUCAUUUAAGCAGAAUCUCCUUCUGCAGAGGGAGCACCUUGCGAAUCUGAAAUAAGAUCAGAGAAGUGCUUGCUACAGCAGUCUGGCCAUCCUCUGCCGAUGAACGUGAACCCUCGUGAAUAGGUGAGUCCUGCCUGUUUACUGUGGGGAAGUCCCUUUGCUGAGAAAGAUGAAGCAGUCCCAGGAUGGUAGGAAGCAGCCGAGGGAAGGAGCCUUAGGAAGAAGGAGUCUAUUCUCAGGUCAGUCCCUGCACUUAGCCUGGGCUAGGAGGGUGUAUUGAGCAUGUGGCAUCAAGAAAAAGACUGAAAGCGAUCCAGCUAGUGGAAACUAUCUGUGACAUCAAACCUGAGAAUGGGGGCCAUGUCCUGUUAGUUCAGUUUCAAACAUGGGAACAGUUAACCUCCAAAGAUUCAUCUUCCAGAAGCUACCAUGAUGGUUUCCAAGGGAGAGCCUACGUAGACCAAGGAGAGCGGAGGGGAGAUGGGACACAAGGAAAGCCGGGCCAUCCCCUCGCCUUGCCUCCAGCUUCCUUCAGAAGAGUGGUUCCAUCCUUAUCUGUUGUAUUUCUUAGGAUUGUGUGUGAGGUUACAUUUAAGAAAAGGUUCUUUCACGAAGAUAAAUGCGUCCGAUAACUACAGUUUCCUCAGUCUCACCUGAAAUCUACUGAAAUAGAAUCUCCCAGGAGUGUGUUCUUCCACAAUGCUGCUCAAUGCGCCCCCUGAUAGGAUGGGUAGCUGGACGAUAGAUGACAUAGAUAGAUGGUAGGUAGGUAGAUAGAUAGAUAGUAUAUUUACCAACAUACUAAUAUGUAAUGCAUAUUGUAACAUACACACAAAAGUAGAAAAUUUUAAAUAAAUGUAAUAGAGGCUCUAGUAUUUUCUCUUUGCACCCGAGGGAUCAUCUUGAUUUCCCCUGAUGUAGGCACACCUUGCACUGGGGCUUUCUCACAGUCUUAUCUACGAUAGCAAGAACGUGUGGGAAAUGAGGGGAUGACGCAACCCUGCUUACAGGUGUAAAUCCAUCCCACUGUGUUUAAUGGCCCCCGAGCCACUGAGAUAGCGAGCGGCACGCUCCGUCCUAGCCCAUUCCUUCCUCUGUACCAGGGCUAGGGCUUAGGGGAAGAGUGCAUAGUGACUGUCGUUGAUUACUACAAGGUGGGGAAAGAAUAAAUGUCUUCUUCCAGACCAGAUGGAUCCUUUCUCCCUCUCCCCUUUGAGCACAGAUGAAAUCCAACUGAAGCAAAGUUGAUAUUUCAAAACUGAGCUCCAAUGUUUAGAACAAUGAGUGGAGCUGCUGAUGCUUUAGUUGCUGGAAUGUUCUCUAGCUCAACUCUGAAAGUCAAUCGUCAGCAUGUGGGCCUGAUGUCUGGGCAACAAUCAGAGAAGGACCAGUGUGAGGGGCAUUGUCCCCGGGCAAGGUGGGUGGAGAGGAGACUGCAAGGCCUGAGCGGGCAAAGGCAAGGCUCGUCAACACCCCGGGGACUUAGGACGUAUGAGGAAGGCACCACAUGUGUUUGUGUCACUUCUGUGACUCAGCUGCUAUUUCAGCCACUGAUAAAUAAAGGACUGUUUCCAGGUAUGCUAUGUUUGGUUAAACCCUAAACUUGGACAUUAAGUAUAGCCCUAAGGUUCCCAAGACUACAUUGCUCUAAACCACAAUUAUUUCACACAUGCUGGAGUGAAAAGAAAAUUAAAAUUAGAAGCAUAAAGAAAAUGAAAUAAAUGUCUGUGGGUUUCCCACACAACCUGCAAAUCUCCCUUCUGUAACAGUACAACACAGCUGUUCUGCUUCUGUUCUGACAGCUCUUUCCACCUCGGGGACCCAUUUUCGGUACUAUUUCCCCAAUGUGUUUCCCCCCCCCUCCCCGUUUUGUUCAUGCACAGUCUCUCUCCCCACCCCCCACGCCUUUCCUUCCAAAUUCCCAGGUGCCAGUCUGCUUUUCCAACUCCACCUCCAGAUACAUGUACGGGCUUUGCCCCAAAGCCUCCCUAGUGAGCAGUAUCACUUUCUGGGGAUAGUAAGCACUGAGUCAUUGCCUCCUUCUUACCACAGUUUCCAAAACACAGCCUCAUUUCCCCCUUGUCUCUACCCAGAUCUCCGAAAGUCUGGGCCACCAUGUACGUAAACAGACUCCUAAUGGGGGAUCCCCGGCCCAUCUUCCUAACACCCUCUCACUCUCUAUCCCUCCUCGAUGUCUGUCCUCCCAAAAGUCGGAAGAAAGCAGAGCUUAAGGGACUAGGACCCUUCAGGAUCCAUCCUUCUCUAUAACUCAGACACCUGGUCAACAGAGGAAAACACGCUUCUGCUAUGAAAACAAGACUCGGAGACUUGUAGAGAAUGGCCCCGUGAAGACAAGAUGGUACCAUGGUCCAUUCCCUCUCAGCGGCACCACCUGGGCAGGAACGGUACAACCUAAAGAUGAGCCCAGAUUUUCUCUGAAGUGGGUAGCUAAGCGAAUUGUAUUCUUUUGUUGUUGUUGUUGUUGUUGUUCUCCCAGCCCCAGUGAGAAGCAGCAAGGGAUUUAAAUGCGAGUAGUUGCAGAUGAAAGUUCUCAAAUUUUUAUGUUAAAUACAAGCGUACUUAUCCCUUGAUCAUAUCCAUGCAAGGCAGCACCUUUAAGACACUGAUCUGAGGGGGAUGCAUGUUCAAAAUGAGAACACUGCUAGGCAGCAAAAUCAAUCAGAUUGCCCUCUUAGAUACACCCAAGGUGAAGCAGCUUGAACUGGGUGUUCCUACCUCUUUCGAUCCUCCCCCUGCUGGAAAAAUCGGUCUCCUGGUGACUCAGAAUUAGUUCAAGAUACUUCCCCACACCCUUACUCUCUGUCAAGAUCAAGCCUGUUCCCCGCUGAUUUCCAACACUGACCCCACACGCCCUCAGGUGAUCCCUCUACCAAGGCGCGCACAGCUUUCCAUUCGGGAGGCAAAGGACAGCGUGUAUAGCAGCCUGGGCCUUUAAAGCUCCUCAAAGCCCUGCCCCAGCCUUCCCGGAGGAAUUUAUUCAGGAAUUCUUUAGUCCACCAUACCUUCAUUUUCCAGAAGAGGAAAUGCCUUCUUGUCUUCCAGAACUGCUGCUGGUCUGGCUUAGAUUUUAGAGACAGCGUGAUCUAGAACACUUGCAAAUGCGUGCUCACUGCAAGACUACUGAAAUAGAACAAACCAAGCCAACAACAACAACAGAGGAGGAUGGGUAAAGCAUCCCCAUGAAUAAAAUGGGGUGUUGCCCCUGAAAUGAUGCAGUGGGGGUGGGGCCCCUGCAAGGAGUCCGCUCACCUGGUCCCCAGGCCUCAAAAAAGAAUUUGCAUUCCACAGGGCUGCCCGAUGGCACACUGCAGAUCAUCUAAUGUUCCUUCUGCAACAUGUUCAAUCAUAUUUGGGAAUUAGCAUCCAACUCGGGAGCUACCUGUCUCAGGGUGGAUCCAUGAACAUGACAUAAACCCAGUGCUCGGCAGCCACAGUGACUCAAGUAACCAGAGGUCAAUCGAUCCCUCUUCUGUCUUCAUCUACCUCCCGAACAGAGCUCUCAGCCAGGACUGUCUGCGGCUGCCUCUGAUCCCUUUUCCGGUGCCCUUCUUCCAGAACAUGUGAAGGAAGCAGAGGUUAAGGAACCAGGACUUCCAGGAUCCAGCUCUCUUCUGUAUGUCAGUGAUCAGAUAGAGUAUUUUCGCUGCCAAGGAAAACUCUGAACGUCUUAGGUAAAUGGGAUUAUAAAAUUGAGAGUAGUCGGUGCAGUCAUUUCCAACUUAAGUUCUCUCCCUGGGCCGGAAGCUCAAAGCGGAGUUAAUUUUUCUCUGAAGAAAGAUUUCGCUCAUUCAUUCAUUCAUUCAUGCAUGCAUGCAUUCAAUUAAUUUUAUCUUUGUGGUCAUCAGAUCUGAGGAUCAACAGCCAUCAAUAACCACAACUCCUCUCAUCUCCUUGGAGACCACAGACCAUACAGGUACCUCUCUGUUUUGUGUUCUAAAGGCCACGACUUAACUGUGCCAGGGAGAAUUGAGGGUUAAGUCACCUCUUCUGUGUUGUGUGAUCCUGAGUCCUUGAGCAUAAGAAACAGAAAUCAAGUCUGGAUUAACUGAAACAGAAACGAUAGUUGUUGGCAGGGUUUAGCGACGUUCACAGAAUAGACAGGAAGGCGGGAGAGGGAGGCUUGGGAAAAAGCAGAAACUAAAGCAGGUCUGAGGAUCCAGGGAACAGUAAGCACCAUCGAGAUCAUGUCUUAGGAAGAACUCGUUCAAGACAUGUUGUGGCUACUACCGGUGGUCUAGCUGACCUCCUUCUGCUGUUACCACCAUUUCUGCUGAUUAAAGUCUUUCUUUGUGUCCUUCCAUCCUACGCCAUGAUCAAGAGACUCCGUGUCCUGCAAAGGAGCAUCUGAUUGGAUAAGCGGAGGUUACAGCCCACGCUGCCAGAACUCAGAAGUUCCCUCUUCAGGCUUCUAGAGGAGGAGGCUCUUCCCCAAUCCAGAGGACAUGGGCCUUCCGCUGAAGAUAAGCUCACAACAUCAAAGGAGGGAAAAUGAUAAACUAUGAGGAAAUUCCCUCAGUGGAUAUUUUGCCUUAGAGCAAAAAUGGUAUCUCAGCGUUGGGCUUGCCCCUACAUUCAUUCAUGUUGGUACUUUUUAUUUAAGUUUUUAUAGUAGCUAGGUUCCCCUUUGCCUAAAAACCCAAGGGAAAAAACCCAAUUCUUUAAUUUACUCACAUCCUGCUAGGCUUUCUCAGGCUAUUCAUUUUCUUACCCCGCUUCAUCUUCAGCUGCAAGGAAGCUGGAGUUUGGAGGAAAGGGGGAGGCAGGUCAACCGGAGGUUGUCCUAACCUCAGAGGGAGAGCCCCCCUGUCGUCAACACCAGGGCUACCCUAGGCUAUUGCAACAUGUCUGCAGGCUCAAUUCUAGAAGAAAAUACCAUUUACUUCCCAACGUGCUGGGGCUCAGUGGGGCAUAAAGAAUAAAUGAAGUAAAUUAACUGACAAAAUUUGGUAAUUGCCAGUUCCUGAGAACUUAAAAGAGAAACUGUAAAAGGGAUCCUGAACCUUCACGAGUGUUUAUAGACUAUCUUGAUCCAUAAAAAUAAAGGAGUGGGGCUCCUGGGUGGCUCAGUCGGUUGAGCGUCCGACUUCCGCUCGGGUCAUGAUCUCAUGGUUCAUGAGUUUGAGCCCCGCGUCGGGCUCUGUGCUGACCGCUCGGAGCCUGGAGCCUGCUUCCGAUUCUGUGUCUCCCUCUCUCUCUGCCCCUC